rnacentral:sRNA from 1 species
AUGGACCACGCUACACUCCGGUUCUGAGCGCGCCGCCCGCACUCACCUCACGACCGCUCGCUGCGGUUUGUUCGCC